rnacentral:tRNA from 1 species
UAUAUUUUGGUGUAGGAUGCACGAAGAGUUUUGAUCUCUUAAGAUUUAGUUUAAAUCUAGAAAAUAUAA